GUUAAUGGUGGGAGAUUGAGAAAUGGAAAAUCUUCUCAGGUGUAUGAAAUGACUUUGCAGAAUGGUGGGAGAUACGAAAUUGGAUCUUAGGAAUUUGUUCAAGGGCUGCCAAGGGAGAGGAGAAGAGGAAGGAAGUAGUUGCAGAGGAAUCAGAUGGAGAAGAAUACGGUGGUUUAUACAUGUCAUGUCAUGAAAGAGUUCCAUAUAGUGUGUUAUUCCACAAACUGCAAAUGACUUUCGUGCUAAUUUUUAGUUACUAGUCAUAUGAAUCGUUUAGAAACAAAAAAAGAAGUGGGAGUCAAUAAUGAAAUCAUAAAGGCAAAUCGCUUUUGAUGUCUUAUUAUAGUCUUGAAAUACUAUGUUUAGACAAUAGUGUUUGAUGUGAUUAUGAACUCUUUAAACACCAAUUACACCAAAAUUCACUUUGUUUCUUUUA